GUGCUCGCUUCGGCAGCACGUAUACUAAA
rnacentral:snRNA from 1 species